GGCCAUCCCCAGAUGAGGCUGCAGCAUUGCCCCGUGUGCUCUCAGCUGGUGCCAGUGUUGUCUGGAACUGUCUGGACCUACCUGGAAACUGAGUACCUACAGGGUUUUGUCACUUACAGUGAUUGCCAUGGUCUGAAUGCUUGUGUCCUCCUCGAAAGAGCCUUCCAAGAUGCGGUGCCCUCCAUCAGCAUAUUGCCACGCCUUUCUCUCCCAGGAUGCAUUGCUGGGAUGGAUGAACAGGGCCAUGCGAUAAAUCCUCUAACGUUGCCACGUCUGUGCUUUUGCCUCCUUUCCUCUCCGUUGUAUGGAGGAAGUUCUGACAGCUCACUUCAUUUCACGUGGUGUGCAAGCUUCUGUCAAACAACGGAACAAACUAUGAGAACCACUUCCAGCCACUGCUUCUGCACACUUCUCUGCUAAGUGAGUCUCUGCUGUGUGAGUCUCAUUGGUAAAACUACCCUGAUCUAACAUUCUGUUACCUCCUUUGUGGUCCAACACUCCAAGAGUCCACGGCCUCAGACGCCCCUGGGUUUCUGCUGAUGUAAAUUGGCAAAAACUUGCAUUCAGUGUGUAUGUGGCUCCUCUUGGGUCUCACUGUGUGUUUAUCCCUCUGCACCCAACUCUAGUCAUGGCUCUGGGAAUAAUGAGGGUCGGUGGAGGUGGAUCUCAAGGGAGAUCUGUCAUCUUGCAAGGCUGUUUCCUCAAGUGAAGCCAUCACAGAUCUUUGGGCACAGUUUUACUCACCUCAGACUCUAAGGAAGAGUCACUUCUGCUUACAGGGAGACUCAGGAAGGUCUAAUGUUCAGGGGACUCAGAGUCAGAGAAAUCCACCCUCUCCAGUUCUCGAGGUCUCAUUCUUUCCAAAUAAAUGCCUUAACUUUGACUUAAGAGAUUUAGUAAGACAUUUAAUUAUUCUUUAGUUGUAAUUCAUUAGCCUGCAAGAUCAAAUUUGUACUCUGCAUUUAAAAAAAAAAGUUGACUCUACAGCUACAAGAACUAAAAUGGUUUUUUUAGGACAGCUAUAGAAGGGCUCUGGUUCUCUGUCUAUACCUUCAGCUGAGCACUUAAGGCCACAGCUUGUCAUUUUCUUUGUCAGUUCCCCAGUGCAAUAAGCAGCAGCCACCCCAUGCCACAUCCUUGUAUGCAUGGUUUCCAUCCACAUCCUAAUGUCCUAUUGCAAGAGCCCCCUGGUGUCUGAAACCCAGGCUUGUGAUGGGCACUGCAUCGCAGAGACCUCAAGGUAAUGAUUUUACCAGUGACAAUGUUUAUAGAUUAUCUGCAUCCUGCUUCCCACUCCUCACGUGGUCCUCACUGACAUCAGACAAAACCUGGUCUGUCCAAUUACUAACUCCAGAUUCCCAUCUUCAAGGUUCUGCCUUCCUGGAAACACUGCUGGUACCAGGAAUGGUUGGUCGGGAACACUAAAGUCACUCUAGGUAUUUUGGGUAGAAGGAGAUUCAUUGCAGGGAACUCUAGGCUUACAGAAAUGUUGAGAACUUUGGGGACUGAAGGUUAUUUCAGGAGAUCUGGAAGUGCAGGGAUAGAAGGGUAGCAUCCAUUGCCCCCUGAUAACUGUACCACUGACAUGGCUAGAAACCACCCCAGUGAUCCCAGCUGCUUGUAGCACCUCAGGGUGAUUCUCAAACUGACUCCAGAAGCCAAGGUACACUGCUGCCAAUGACUGCAGGGGCCUCUGCAAAACGGACGUUGAUGAAUGAAACAAAGUGUGAUCUACCCAUAGCAGGGAAUGUUAUUCAUCCUUAAAAAGGAAGGAAAUCCUGCAGCUCACGCCUGUCAUCCCAGCUCUUUGGGAAGCUGAGGCAGGAGAAUGGCUUGAGGCCAGGAGUUUGAGACCAGCCUGGGCAACAUAAUGAGACCCCCGUCUCUACAAAAAACAAUUUAAAAAAUUUGCUGUAGUCCCCGCUACCCAGGAGACUGAAGCAGGAGGAUAGCUUGAGCCCAGGAAGUUGAGGCUGCAGUGAGCUAUGAUCUCUCCUGUCUCUAAAAAAGAAAAAAAAUAAAAGGAAAGAAAUUAAUUCUCACACAGGCUACAAAAUGGAUGAACCUUGAGGACAUUAUGCUGAAUCAAAGAAGCCAUUCAGCAAAGGAUAAAUCCUAUAAGCUUCCCCGUAUAUGAGGAACCCAGAGCAGUGAAAUCCCCAGUGACAGGAAGUGGAUGGUGGGCACCAGGGGCUGGCAGAGAGGAUGGGAGUCAGUCUUCCAUGGGGACAGGGACAGCUUCAGUUUGGGAAGCUGAAGAAGUUCUGGAGAUGAUGAUGGUGGUGACAAGUGCACACCAACGUGAAUGUAUCAGGGACAGCUUCAGUUUGGGAACUUGAAGAAGUUCUGGAGAUGACGAUGGUGGUGACAGGUGCAUACCAACGUGAAUGUAUCAGGGACAGCUUCGGUUUGGGAAGCUGAAGAAGUUCUGGAGAUGAUGAUGGUGGUGACAGGUGCACACCAAUGUGAAUGUAUCAGGGACAGCUUCGGUUUGGGAAGCUGAAGAAGUUCUGGAGAUGAUGAUGGUGGUGACAGGUGCACACCAACGUGACUGUAUCAGGGACAGCUUCAGUUUGGGAAGUUGAAGAAGUUCUGGAGAUAAUGAUGGUGGUGACAGGUGCACACCAACAUGAAUGUAUCAGGGACAGCUUUGGUUUGGGAAGCUGAAGAAGUUCUGGAGAUGAUGAUGGUGGUGACAGGUGCACACCAACGUGAAUGUAUCAGGGACAGCUUCGGUUUGGGAAGCUGAAGAAGUUCUGGAGAUGAUGAUGGUGGUGACAGGUGCACAGCAAUGUGAAUGUAUCUAAUGGCACUAAACUGUGCACUUUAAAACUGCAUGCAUUUACAAUGGUAAAUUUUAUGUUAUGCGCAUUCCACUGUAGUGAAAAAGAGUUAACUUCACCUGAAAUGAAUUCGUGUGGUAACCAUUGG
rnacentral:lncRNA from 1 species